rnacentral:rRNA from 1 species
GCCAGACUCCUACGGGAGGCAGCAGUGGGGAAUAUUGGGCAAUGGGCGCAAGCCUGACCCAGCAAUGCCGCGUGAAGGAAGAAGGCUUUCGGGUUGUAAACUUCUUUGACAGGGGAAGAGCAGAAGACGGUACCCUGAAAACAAGCCACGGCUAACUACGUGCCAGCAGCCGCGGUAAUACGUAGGGGGCAAGCGUUAUCCGGAUUUACUGGGUGUAAAGGGGGCGCAGACGGCGAUGCAAGCCAGGAGUGAAAGCCCGGGGCCCAACCCCGGGACUGCUCUUGGAACUGCGUGGCUGGAGUGCAGGAGGGGCAGGCGGAAUUCCUGGUGUAGCGGUGAAAUGCGUAGAUAUCAGGAGGAACACCGGUGGCGAAGGCGGCCUGCUGGACUGCAACUGACGUUGAGGCCCGAAAGCGUGGGGAGCAAACAGGAUUAGAUACCCGGGUAAU